rnacentral:rRNA from 1 species
AAAAGGGUGCAUGGCGGAUGCCUAGGCACUAGGAGCCGACGAAGGACGCGACGAACGGCGAAACGCUACGGGGAGCAGUAAGUAAGCAAAGAUCCGUAGGUGUCCGAAUGAGGAAACUCUGACUUUUAUAAAAGUCAAUCUUAUGCGUGAAUACAUAGCGCAAAAGAGGGGAACUCAGUGAAUUGAAACAUCUUAGUAACUGAAGGAAAAGAAAGUAAAGAAACGAUUCCCUAAGUAGAGGCGAUUGAAAUGGGAAGAGCCCAGCUAACCAAUUAUUUAAGUUACAAAACUUUUAGAUAGUAGAAUUAUUUGGAGGAAUAAACCAAAGAAGGUGAGGAGUCCUGUAUAUGAAAUCUAAAAGACUUAAGGAUAGCGAAGAGUAAGGCGGAGCACGUGAAACUCUGUGUGAAGACGCGAGGACCAUCUCGCAAGGCUAAAUACUACCUAGUGACCGAUAGUGAACCAGUACCGUGAGGGAAAGGUGAAAAGAACCCUUGGCAGGGAGUGAAAAGAACCUGAAACCAUGCACUUACAAUUAGUCAAAGCCCGUUAAAGGGUGAUGGCGUGCCUUUUGUAGAAUGAACCGGCGAGUUACAAUAAUUUGCGAGGUUAAACUUUUAGGAGUGGAGCCGUAGGGAAACCGAGUCUUAAUAGGGCGAAUAUUAGUAGAUUGUUGUAGACCCGAAACCAGGUGAUCUAACCAUGAGCAGGUUGAAGCUUGGGUAAAACCAGGUGGAGGACCGAACCAGGGUCUGUUGCAAUAGACUUGGAUGACUUGUGGUUAGGGGCGAAAAACCAAACGAACCUGGAGAUAGCUGGUUCUCCCCGAAAUAGCUUUAGGGCUAGCGUUAUUUUUAAUUUACUGGAGGUAGAGCACUGAAUGGUUGAUGGCCACACCUAGUGGUACUGAUAUCAAUCAAACUCCGAAUGCCAGUAAAUAUAAAUAGCAGUAAGACUGUGGGUGAUAAGGCUCAUAGUCAAAAGGGAAACAGCCCAGACCGCCAGCUAAGGUCCCGAAAUAUAUGCUAAGUGGGAAAGGAUGUGGAGUUGUAUAAACAGCUAGGAGGUUGGCUUAGAAGCAGCCACCCUUUAAAGAGUGCGUAAUAGCUCACUAGUCGAAUGAUUCUGCGCCGAAAAUGUAUCGGGGCUAAAGCAUAUUACCGAAGCUGCGGAUAUAGAAAAUUUUUUCUAUGUGGUAGGGGAGCGUAGUUAAUGCGCUGAAGCAAGACUGAGAAGACUUGUGGAGUGUUAAGUAGUGAGAAUGCCGGUGUGAGUAACGAAAAGAUGGGUGAGAAUCCCAUCCGUCGAAAGCCUAAGGUUUCCAGAGGAAGGUUCGUCCGCUCUGGGUUAGUCGGGUCCUAAGGUCAGGCUGAAAAGCGUAGCCGAUGGACAUCAGGUUGAUAUUCCUGGACCACUUAUAUGACUGAUGGAAUGACGAAGAAGGCUAGAAUAGGCAAAUUAGUGGAUUUUUGUAGAAGGGUGUAGGUGGAAGAUCUAUGCAAAUCAGGAUCUUUAAUUAAACACUGAAACCAAAAAUAAUUUAUUCGAGGCCCGACUUCCAAGAAAAGUUUCUAAGAUUAUUAUAUAAGUGCCCGUACCGUAAACCGACACAGGUAGGCGAGGGGAAGAAAUCCAAAGACGCGCGAGAAAACUCUUGUUAAGGAACUCUGCAAAAUGACCCCGUAACUUCGGAAUAAGGGGGGCUUACUAUAAGUAAGCCGCAGAUAAUAGGCCCAAGCGACUGUUUAUCAAAAACACAGGUCUCUGCUAAACCGCAAGGUGAAGUAUAGGGGCUGACGCCUGCCCAGUGCUGGAAGGUUAAGAGGAGAUGUCAGAACGUAAGUUCAAAGCAUUGAAUUGAAGCCCCAGUAAACGGCGGCCGUAACUAUAACGGUCCUAAGGUAGCGAAAUUCCUCGUCGGGUAAGUUCCGACCCGCACGAAAGGCGUAACGAUUUGGGCGCUGUCUCAACUCGAGACUCGGUGAAAUCAUAUUAUUGGUGAAGAUGCCAAUUACCCGCGACUAGACGGCAAGACCCCAUGGAGCUUCACUGCAACUUGAUAUUGAUAUUGGGUAUUGGAUGUACAGGAUAGGUGGGAGACUAAGAAGCAAGGACGCUAGUUUUUGCAGAGUCGCCCUUUGGAUACCACCCUUCUAAUAUUUAGUGUCUAACUAGAGGCCAUAAUCUGGUCAUAGGACAGUGUCAGGUGGGCAGUUUGACUGGGGCGGUCGCCUCCUAAAGAGUAACGGAGGCGCCCAAAGGUUCCCUCAGAAUGUAUGGAAAUCAUUCGAAGAGUGUAAAGGCAGAAGGGAGCUUGACUGCAAGAUGGACAUAUCGAGCAGGAACGAAAGUUGGGCUUAGUGAACCGGCUGUGCUGAAUGGAAAGGCAGUCGAUCAACGGAUAAAAGCUACCCUGGGGAUAACAGGCUUAUCUCCCCCAAGAGUUCACAUCGACGGGGAGGUUUGGCACCUCGAUGUCGGCUCAUCGCAUCCUGGAGCUGGAGUAGGUUCCAAGGGUUGGGCUGUUCGCCCAUUAAAGCGGUACGCGAGCUGGGUUCAGAACGUCGCGAGACAGUUCGGUCCCUAUCUGUCGUGGGCGUUGGAAAUUUGAGGGGGGCUGCUCCUAGUACGAGAGGACCGGAGUGGACACACCGCUGGCGAACCAGUUGGCCUGCCAGGGCCAUUGCUGGGUACCUAUGUGUGGAGAAGAUAAACGUUGAAAGCAUCUAAACGUGAAACUUUCCCCAAGAUGAGAUUUCCCAUUUUAUAAGAUCCCUCAAAGAUGAUGAGGUUGAUAGGUUAGGUGUGUAAGUAUAGUGAUAUAUUGAGCUGACUAAUACUAAUAGAUCGAAGACUUAACCUU